GAUGAAGAACGUAGCGAAAUGCGAUAAGUAGUGUGAAUUGCAGAAUUCAGUGAAUCAUCGAAUCUUUGAACGCACAUUGCGCCCCUUGGUAUCCCGAGGGGCAUGCCUGUUCGAGCGUCAUUUCACCACUCAAGCCUGGCUUGGUUUUGGGCGACGUCCUCUUUGGGGACGCGCCUCGAAACGCUCGGCGGCGUGGCACCGGCUUUAAGCGUAGCAGAAUCUUUCGCUUUGGAAGUCGGGGCCCCGUCUGCCGGAAACCUGCUCGCAAGGUUGACCUCGGAUCAGGCAGGGAUACCCGCUGAACUUAAGCAUAUCAUAAGCGGAGGA
rnacentral:misc_RNA from 1 species